GGAGGAUGUGGCCUAUAGCCAUAAACUUCAACGUUGGAAGAGGGUGUCCAAAUGCCAAAAAGUGCUUGGCCACAGGGAGGUCAGCCUUAUUGUCCCUAUAGGCUAUGUGGAAAUAAGAAUGAUGGUUCCUUAUGCAUUCUUUCAAGGGGAUAUCUGGCUUUCCUAUAUAGGACAGUCCACAGGGACACAGCAGCUUGUAGAUUACAAAAUCUAUAGUGUAAGUGAGUCAAUG